UGCGUAGGCGGUCUCUCAAGUCUGGCGUGAAAGCCCAGGGCUCAGCCCUGGAAGUGCGCUAGAAACUGAGAGGCUUGAGUGCCGGAGGGGAGAGUGGAAUUCCCGGUGUAGCGGUGAAAUGCGUAGAUAUCGGGAGGAAUACCGGUGGCGAAAGCGACUCUCUGGACGGCAACUGACGCUGAGGCACGAAAGCGUGGGAGCAAACA
rnacentral:rRNA from 1 species